CAAGUCGAGCGCCCCGCAAGGGGAGCGGCAGACGGGANAUUAACACGUGGGAACGUACCCUUCAGUUCGGAACAACCCAGGGGAAACUUGGGCUAAUACCGGAUACGUCCGUAAGGAGAAAGAUUUAUCGCUGAAGGAUCGGCCCGCGUCUGAUUAGCUAGUUGGUGGGGUAACGGCCCACCAAGGCGACGAUCAGUAGCUGGUCUGAGAGGAUGAUCAGCCUCACUGGGACUGAGACACGGCCCAGACUCCUACGGGAGGCAGCAGUGGGGAAUAUUGGACAAUGGGCGCAAGCCUGAUCCAGCCAUGCCGCGUGGAUGAUGAAGGCCCUAGGGUUGUAAAGUCCUUUCGGCGGGGAAGAUAAUGACGGUACCCGCAGAAGAAGCCCCGGCUAACUUCGUGCCAGCAGCCGCGGUAAUACGAAGGGGGCUAGCGUUGCUCGGAAUCACUGGGCGUAAAGCGCACGUAGGCGGAUUCCUAAGUCGGUGGUGAAAUCCUGGAGCUCAACUCCAGAACUGCCUCCGAUACUGAGAGUCUCCGAGUCCGGGAGAGGUGAGUGGAACUGCCAGUGUAGAGGUGAAAUUCGUAGAUAUUCGCAAGAACACCAGUUGGCGAAGGCGGCUCACUGGCCCGGUACUGACCGCUGAAGGUGCGAAAGCGUGGGGAAGCAAACAGG
rnacentral:rRNA from 1 species